rnacentral:rRNA from 1 species
AAAAACAUUUUUUAUAAAAAUUACUAUAAAUAAAAUCUGCUCAAUGAAAAUAAAUAGCCGCAGAAUUUUAACUGUGCUAAGGUAGCAUAAUCAUUUACCUUUUAAUUAAAGGUUUGUAUGAAUGAUUUUACAAUUAAAUUAUUUUUUUGUUAAUAUUAAUAAAAUUUAAACUAAGAAUAAAAAUGUUCUUAUUUUUAAAAAAGACGACAAGACCCUAUUGAACUUAACUUAAGUUUAGCUGGGGAAGCUAAUUAAAUAGUAUUUUAAUUAAUUUGCUUAAAUAAAUAGCUAAUAAAAUUAAAUAAACAAGUUACCAUAGGGAUAACAGCGUAAUAAUUUUCCAAAGCUCUUAUUGAAAUAAAUGAUAACGACCUCG